ensembl:snRNA U6 U6 spliceosomal RNA
GUGCUCGCUAUGGCAGCACAUAUACUAAAUUGGAAUGGUCCUGAGAUGAUAACAGCCCCUGUGCAAGGGUGACAUGCAAACUAGUGAAGUGUUCUGUAUGUUU